GUGAGGAAUAUUGGUCAAUGGGCGAGAGCCUGAACCAGCCAAGUCGCGUGAAGGAAGACGGCCCUACGGGUUGUAAACUUCUUUUGCAAUGGAAUAAAAAGAGUUACGUGUAAUUCAUUGUAUGUACAUUGCGAAUAAGGAUCGGCUAACUCCGUGCCAGCAGCCGCGGUAAUACGGAGGAUCCGAGCGUUAUCCGGAUUUAUUGGGUUUAAAGGGUGCGUAGGCGGAUUGGAAAGUCAGCGGUGAAAGUUUGCAGCUUAACUGUAAAAUUGCCAUUGAAACUGUCAGUCUUGAGUGCAAAUGAGGUAGGCGGAAUGUGUUGUGUAGCGGUGAAAUGCAUAGAUAUAACACAGAACACCAAUUGCGAAGGCAGCUUACUGGGAUGCAACUGACGCUGAGGCACGAAAGCGUGGGGAUCAAACAGGAUUAGAAACCCCAGUAGUCC
rnacentral:rRNA from 1 species